rnacentral:lncRNA from 10 species
UUUUUGAGAUGGAGUCUUACUUAGUCACCCAGGCUGGAGUGCAAUGACACGAUCUCAGCUCACUGCAACCUCCGCCUCCUGUGUUCAAGCGAUUCUCCUGCCUCAGCCUCCCGAAUAGCCGGGAUUACAGGCACCUGCCAUCAUGCCCGGCUAAGUUUUGUAUUUUUGUAGAGACGGGGCUUCACCGUGUUGGCCAGGCUGGUCUUGAUCAGGUCUGAGGUCUGAGGUCAAGAUCUCCUGACCUCAGGUGAUCCACUCGCCGUGGCUUCCCAAAGUGCUGGGAUUACAGGCAUGAGCCACCACACCUGGCUUCACCCCAGGGUUUCUGAUUCAGUAGAAUCAGGGUGGGUUUCAAGAAUGUGCAUUUCUAACAAGUUCCUGGGCGAUGCUGAUGCUGGUGGUCUGGGACCACACUUUGAGAACCAGUGCUCUAAACCAGCUGUUCCCAAACUUUCACAUGUAUGGGCCUUCAGAAUCAUCCAUUAUUUGAUUUUCUCGAUUGGCAUUAGCUCACAAACAUGGAGCUGACAUGUACUUGCAAGAGAGAGAAGGUUUUCAGUGCAGGGCAUUCUGAGCUAACAUGAUCCCUCUGUCAGCAGGCAGUGAUACUUCUAUCCACAAAGGCCUGGGUGAAGGAGUUAAGCUCCUUUUAAAUCAUGUUGGACUGGGCCAGGCAUGGUGGCCCAUGCCUAUAGUUCCAGCUACUCAGGAGGCUGAGGCAGGAGAAUGGCUUGAGCCCAGGAGUUUUGGGCUGUAGUGCACUAUGCCAGUUGGGUGCCCAUACUAAGUUUGACAUCAAUAUGGUGACCUCCCAGGAGUGGUGGGCCACCAGGUUGCCUAAGGAAGGGUGAACUGGCUCAAGCUGAAAACGGAGCAGGUGAAAACUCCCACGCUGAUCAGUAGUGGGAUCACAUCUGUAAAUAGCCACUGCACCCCAGCCUGGACAAGCCACAAAAAAACAAAAAAACACAAAAUGUUGGAUUGGGCAAUGAGGAGGUUGGGGUUGAACCUAUUUCCACUAUGGGAUAGCAGAAAGAGCAUAUGUGGUUUGAGAGUUAGUCAGGCAUGUUCCAUUCAAUUCCUAGCUCUGCCUCUUAUGGUGGAUUAGCUUUGAAUGUGUUAUUUAACUCAUUUGUGCUUCCAUUUCCUAUCUGUAAAUUUUAUUUAUUCCACAAACAUUUAUUAAGCACAUGCUGUCUUUCCAGCUUCUGGGGAUAC